GACGAACGCUGGCGGCGUGCUUAACACAUGCAAGUCGAACGGAAAGGCCCUGCUUUUGUGGGGUGCUCGAGUGGCGAACGGGUGAGUAACACGUGAGUAACCUGCCCUUGACUUUGGGAUAACUUCAGGAAACUGGGGCUAAUACCGGAUAGGAGCUCCUGCUGCAUGGUGGGGGUUGGAAAGUUUCGGCGGUUGGGGAUGGACUCGCGGCUUAUCAGCUUGUUGGUGGGGUAGUGGCUUACCAAGGCUUUGACGGGUAGCAGGCCUGAGAGGGUGACCGGCCACAUUGGGACUGAGAUACGGACCAGACGCCUACGGGGGGCAGCAGUGGGGAAUAUUGCACAAUGGGCGGGAGCCUGAUGCAGCAACGCCGCGUGCGGGAUGACGGCCUUCGGGGUGUAAACCGCUUUCGCCUGUGACGAAGCGUGAGUGACGGUAAUGGGUGAAGAAGCACCGGCUAACUACGUG
rnacentral:rRNA from 1 species